GACGUAGGGCGCGAGCGUUGUCCGGAUUUAUUGGGCGUAAAGAGCUCGUAGGCGGUCUGUCGCGUCUGCUGUGAAAACUCAGGGCUUAACCCUGAGCUUGCAGUGGGUACGGGCAGACUAGAGUGCGGUAGGGGAGACUGGAAUUCCUGGUGUAGCGGUGAAAUGCGUAGAGAUCAGGAGGAACACCCGUGGCGAAGGCGGCCCCCUGGGUCGGCCCUGACGCUGAGGCGCGAAAGCGUGGGGAGCGAACGGG
rnacentral:rRNA from 1 species